rnacentral:rRNA from 1 species
GAAUCCCGUCUUUGGCACGGAUGUACCGGGGCUUUUGUGAUGCGCUCUCGAAGAGUCGAGUUGUUUGGGAAUGCAGCUCAAAAUGGGUGGUGAACUCCAUCUAAAGCUAAAUAUUGGCGAGAGACCGAUAGCGAACAAGUACCGUGAGGGAAAGAUGAAAAGCACUUUGGAAAGAGAGUGAAACAGUACGUGAAAUUGUUGAAAGGGAAACGCUUGAAGUCAGUCGCGUCGACCGAGACUCAGCCUCGCCUCGGCUUGGUGUACUUCUCGGCUGACGGGUCAGCAUCAAUUUUGCCCCUUGGAUAAUGGCGAGGGAAAUGUGACACCUUUGCGGUGUGUUAUAGUCUCUCGUCGCAUGCAAGGGUCGGGAUUGAGGAACUCAGCACGCGCCUUUGGGCGUCGGGGCUUUGCCCACGAUACGUGCUUAGGAUGCUGGCGUAAUGGCUUUAAACGACCCGUCUUGAAACACGGACCAAGGAGUUUAACAUGCCUGCGAGUGUUCGGGUGGAAAACCCGUGCGCGCAAUGAAAGUGAAAGUUGGGACCUCUGUCGUGGAGGGCACCGACGCCCGGACCAGACCUUCUGUGACGGUUCUGCGGUAGAGCAUGUAUGUUAGGACCCGAAAGAUGGUGAACUAUGCCUGAAUAGGGUGAAGCCAGAGGAAACUCUGGUGGAGGCUCGUAGCGAUUCUGACGUGCAAAUCGAUCGUCAAAUUUGGGUAUAGGGGCGAAAGACUAAUCGAACCAUCUAGUAGCUGGUUCCUGCC